rnacentral:misc_RNA from 1 species
CAUAUUCGAGCACUAACGUGAAGCGGUGCUUCUCAGAUGGCACACCACCCACCAUCACCCACCACCCAUCGUCAUCUUCUCGUUCUGCAUGUGCCUGUGUAUGUGUCGUCGCCUCUUUCACGUGUUUCUCUCUCUCUCUCUGCCACCUGCCUCUCCGUUCUUUCCGCCUCCACCAAGGUGCUCCAUCAAGGGUGCAGCCGGUCUGUGAGGUGCUCGGUGGACUUGUCGAGCGCCUUUCUCUUGCGGCCGCGGCGACUCCCUCUUGCGUCGCCUCUUCCCUCUGUGUCUGUCUGCCUUUGUCGUCCAUAAGAGUCAUGGAAGCGGGUCACGGAUGCGGGGCAGCGCGGCAGCCGAAGCGGCUCCUCACCCCGCUCUUCGUUGCAGCGGCGCUCCUGGCGGCUUUUGGCGGCGCGCUGCUCGUCGCCCAGGCGGAAGUCGAGACACCCGAGCCGACGCCGUACGUUCGUCGCACCUACGAGGUGAAGGUGCCCUUCUUUACGCAGUACUGGUGGGUUGGCUUCAUCAUCAUGAUCCUUGUCCUCCUGCUGGUUGUCAUGGUGCUGUACGCCGCGGUGCAGCACCACUUCAAGCACUCAGAGCAGCUCCGUCGCAGGAAGGAAAUCGAGAUGAGUCGAAUGCACAUCGAGAGCGGCAGCGGUGAUGACGAUGCAAGGAGCCAGGGUGCGGGCCAGUACAGCCGAAGCGGGCGGUCGUCGUACAGCAACCCGCUGCGCACUCCUCUCUGAGAUUCGUGGAAAGCACUAAGAGGGAAAAUGAAAAGGAGGGAGGCCACAAAGGCGAUGGCACCAUGGCGCCUUCUCGCACACGGAGUAGCGACGUCUUGGCGUCACUCGUGCGGCCUUUGCCUUCUGCGUUAGGAGAUGGAAUCGGCCAAGAUGAACAGCGCGAACCCAUCGAAGACUAAACGAGAGAUGCAUUGGGGCGGUGGUGAAGAGGGAAUGCCGCGCACCAAGGGGUCCGUAGGGGGGGGGGGGGCGCCACGAACGUGGGUGUAUGUGUGUACGUGUGCAUCGAAGACAAAAUCGUCCCUCUCCCUCUUUCUCUGCUUUCGUGAGUGUGUGUAUGCGUGUUUAGUGAGCACACAUACACACGCACUCACGCAGUACAGAGAGUCCCUCAGACGAUGAGGCGCUUUUCCUGUGUCGCAGGUUCUCGCCUUUUUCGCUUAUACUUUAUCAUCAUCGUGUAUACUGCUGCUGCUGUUUUUUUUUUUUUCGUGGGCUUUCGCUUUUCGUUUCUGAAUACUGCGUCUUGAUUGUUCGCACAAAAUGAGCGCACCCCCACCCUCUCCUUCACCCUCCACUGGCCAAUUUUGGAGGGGUUCCGCUGUCCCUGUGUGCGCAGUCAUGCGCCGGAAUGCGCCCGCUUGGCCAAGCCCACGCACGCAGCGAAACGCAUCCGAGUAUACCGCCCACUCGUCAUCUGCAGACGUUCUCUGCUACAAGGGGGGGGGGCUGACUUAUCCUUCUGUUUUGGCAGGGAGGGGUUGCUCGCACGCUGCGGCGUCUCUGUAGCGGCGCUGAUUGGUGGGCGGAAGGGGGGGUGUAGCCGUGCUGUUGGAUUCGAUGUACUUGUGCUGAUGCGGGCGGGCAUGGGGCACUAAAACGUUUGUUUUAUAUGAUGGCUGCUUUGAUCGUAGCGCGCAUGCACAUGGAGACACACCGUCGGACGCGUACAUGCAACGACGAUAAAAAAUGACGUGGGCUGGAGAGCAGCGCCAACAGCACCCGAAAACAGAGGAAGAGGGAUAAAGAGACGAGCAUCAUCGUCAGAACGCUCAUCACCGCCCUCCCUCCCUCCCGCAGUCGGUCCCUUUUCAUUUUCUUCAUCGCCUCACUGUUGCGAGCGGGUGUGUGCGUGUCCACGGCUGCAUUGCACCGCGCCGGUGGGAGCCUGUGGCAGGGCCAGGGGGGGGGAAGGGUGGAAGGGGGGGUAGAGGAGCUCAUGCUGGUUAACGGCCGAUAAAAUGGGGGGGGGGGGGGGCAGGUGGAAUCCAAAAAAAAAGGAGCAAAGCAGCCAAGAGACGUCCUCCGCGCGUGUGCUCCCUCUCGGUACGUAUUUGGUCGCCGCGUCCCAUCAGAGGACACCCUCACGCCUUUUUGUUUCCUUAGCCGUGCUUGUGCAUCUCCGUUAUGUAUAUACCCGCGUGUGAGCCCCCGCACACGUGUGUGUGUGUGUGUGUGUGUGUGUGUGUGUGUGUGUGUGUGUGUGUGUGUGUCAUGGCAAAGAACGAAACUCAUGUGUAUAUCGCCUGCACGCACGACGCACACACCUAUGCUGGCAAGGGUUCGGGGUCUUGAUGCACGGGUGGCAGUGCGCCUUUGAGGUGACUGAAGACAAACACCCUCCCCCUUCUCCCCUCCAUCAUCUGUAUCUCUUAACUUUCGUGCUGUCGCCGGGCGGGGGCCCACUCGUGGUCCGAUGGUUUUGGCAUCAACGCGGUACCGACGGGAGAGUGAUGAGCACUGCAGAG